GCAAAACUUGUUUCCAGAUUGAAACUCAAAUCCCUAACAUCUCUAGUUCACGGUUUAAAAGAAACUAUCAUCCCUCGUUUGUCUCUCAGAAAUUGAAAAUCCAAAUUGACCUUUGCCGGCCAAACCAAAUCCAAAUCAGUUAACCAUACGUUUUCACCAAGGGAGAAAGUAAGGCUAAAAAUAAACUUCAAACCACGAGUGUAUGCUGGACUUAAGUGAGAAAGUUAAAGUUUCAGUUAAUGUUGACAAUUGAUUGAUUGGAUAAAAAAAUUCAAUGAAAAUUGCUAAGGAAGCAAGCUGAACUCGUUGAAAUUGAAAGUUGUUCUUGUCAGAAUGUUGCAACAUUUUCUCCAACAGAUCUUUCUCUGAUUGGCCUUACAGAUGGGUUUGCUUCUGUUAUAGAAGUGAGUUCUUAAUUUGCAGUACUGUUCAGAAAGGCAUGGGUUUUGGUUGGUCUCAAGGAUUUGGAUGUUUCGUAUCAUUUAGCGGCUGAAAUUAAUCACCAGUUUGAGUGUAGUUAUAUUGGUGAAGAAGAGGGUGCUCUGGUUUGAAAUAUGAAAUCUCGUAUAGGUUUGACGUUUUGCCUACACGGAUGGUAAAGCACAUUUAGUCUUCCAUUAUACAAUCGGCUUUGCGGAAGCAUUACAGGUUCAUUUCAGAAGCUAAAUUCCCGAACAUAUCGACGAAUGUCAGAUAAAAGAUUUAAUUACCGGUAAUAUACCAUCAUCAAUUGGUAAGAUUCCACUCAAAGAGUUACUAAUUCAUGACAACAUGUUAAUAGGAAAUUAACCUGUCAGUAUGGGAGAUCUCACAAGUCUGAGAUGUUUGCACUUACAAAAACCGGGUAAAAUCCUUCAAAAUUUUGGAAAUCUUAUGAAUCUUUUUGAAGCUGAUCUCUCUAGAAACGCUUUGUCUGGUCCUAGUCCUGCUCAAUUAGUUAAGUAACCUUAAUGUUAAUACACCUAAAAUGUGGUCCGGAAAUAUACCAAAAUCUUGGUUAUUAAAAAUGAACCAAUUUUUCACUUACAUUUAGCUGGAAUAGGGUUAACAGGGGAACUUCUUUAAGUCAAUAUCCCUUUCUGGCAGGGGUAGGGGGACAGAGUUUUGUUUCUUCUCUCUUCUGGCUUCUUUGUUGUCCUUUUAAUGAAGAAUUAGUCUUUGAACCACCAUGUAAGAAUAGUGGAAAUGGGGUAGAAAUUCAAGAUCUAUUUGCUGUAUAUUGCUGUUAGAUAAUGCGUAGACUAUCCCCAGCAUGUUCAAUUUCUGAAUUAUCUAUCACCUUAUGAGAUGAACUUUAGUUGUAUUGUCGCAGUGACUUCUGAAUAGUCACUCUUAUGGGGGUGAACUUUAGUUGCCACGAGAAAUAUGCUUGUUCUCCUGUAGUGGUAGAUUGAAGUCGUUUGAAUGAUGAAUAAAGAUUAGGUUCUUUGGCCAAGGUUAAUAUGUUGUUCCCAAUGGAUUUUACAUUCUUCGCUUAGACUUGCUAUCAUGUUUAAAAUAUUUUGAUUUUUUUAUCUAAAUUUCAUAUAUCUUACAUGUAUAGAGACUCCUGAAUACCAGGAUGCAUUUACGAAUUUCAUAGAUAUGGUCAAUGGGAAACUUGGAAAAUCCUGAAAUCAUUAGUUAUCCUUGUGUUGAUUGUAAGACUCUUGCCGUGCGAAUUCCUGGGAACAAAGUGUUUUGUCACUUGCAAGGGAUGGAUCCUACUUGCAUCUAAUGGAUAUUUCAUGGGAGCCGAAGCAACACCUAAUUAUCUUCACCAGGAGAGAGCAACACCUAGUGUAUAUCAGGUGGAUAUCUCAUGUUGAAGACCUCUUAUUAAUCAGGUUCAUGAAAUUAAACACGCGCGAUGGGGGGUUGGCGAAGCUGGUGGAAGAUACCCAGGGGCGGAUCCAGGAUUUUAAGAGAGGGGGUGCAAAAAAAAAAAUACACAACAAAAAGAAAAGGCUAGAAGUUUUCCGUUGGAGUGGGGUCGCCAUCUGGAAAACUAGGUAUAAUGAGUCAAUUUUAGAACUCUCAUAUUAUGUUGUUCUGUAUGGUUGUGAAAUUUGAUGAGGAUCUUGGAGAUAAUGCCAUUUUUAGGCUUAUUGAAGAUACCGGCGGUAUGGAAGUUAUGCCAAAAACAUCAGAUACACCUCAAGUUGAAAACCGAAGCUGUUCACAACAUUGUGGAGAAAUUCUUGUGCGGGGUGUCUUCUUCUUAACCCAAUCCAAGAAUCAAUACAAUUAGCUUAAUUAAUUACUUCACAUCUCUUAAAAUUGAAACGAGAACCAAAUUAAGAUACAGAGAAAAACGUAUCAGACUAAUGAUUAGUCUCUCCUACCGUGAACGAUUAUGGGAGAAAGAAAGUCGAAAUGGACUUUUCUUUUGGGCUUAGGGGGUGCAGGUGUUGAGAUUUUAGGGGGUGCAAACUCUUUUUUUUGGUUUUUCUUGGCUGGAAAAUGCUAGACUUCUUAUUGUUUUUGAAAAUUAAGGGGGUGCAACUGCACACAGUUGCAACAUGUUGCCUCCGCCCCUGAAGAUACCCACACCCCGUUAUUCCCAAGUUGUAUAGUGCACACUGUUGAUUAUCACUACGAAUUAUAUAAGCACAAGACAGUAAGUGGUUCAUUAAGAAAAGCUUCUGAUGAGCUUCUUUCUAAGGCAAAUUGUUGGAUGUUAACUUCUCUUAGGUCUGAUACUUGUUAAUUUAAAGUUGUGUUAUUUGUAACACCCUUUUUACAUCUGUAUGAACUCAUUGUUAAGGUACUUUAUUAUAUUACUCAAGUUAGCACUAGUUGAGCUUCUU